rnacentral:lncRNA from 1 species
UAUAUUUGUACUAAUCCAAAAUAUUGUCAGUCAUUGCCAUCUCAUAAUGGCAUCAUCAUAUCACAUAUACAUCUAUUGUUUGUAACCUAAAUCUUAGCAAUUUACAUCGAGUGCAAAUACACAUGCAAAAUUCUUGACGACCAGUGGAGUGACUUGGGUGAAGGCACAGCUACCGAAUGCCAUAUACCUACCAAGGGGUGAAUACGAGAGGUCUCCUUAAUCUCGAUCCCCACUAGCUACGGAUAUAAAAACAUGCAAUUUAAAAGAGUGAGUAUAAACUCAGUGAGUGAACAUAAGAAAGGAACAAGCAACGACAAUGAAUGUUUUAGAAAACAUGAUGCACUUACAAUAAACCAUGCAAUUUAGUCUAAUUUUUUUGGCUAAAACCACUCAUUUCAAACUUUGAAUGUUUAAUCUCUUAAUGUUAAAGAUCCAUGAUGAACCAUAAAGUUGAAUAGAAUGAAAAACUCAGCAAUGACCAAGCAAGACAAACAAACAGACGAUUUUCUCGCUGCAGUGAAAAGGCAUUCUUGAUUUGUAUAUGCUUCGGUUUUCAAGCAUAUCUCCCACUAUAGAAGUCCAAUUAACAUGAUUUUCGGUCAUUAGAAACCUAAGAGGCUGGGGUACAACUUUGAUGUUUACCACUUUGCCCAGUUCUGAUCGAAAGGUGGUCAAAAUCUUUGUCAAAAUGAAAGCACUGUACCAAAAUUUUAUAACCAUCCUAGAGUUUCUCGCUGCAGCGAGAAUCCAUUUUCGCUGCAACAAAAUUCCUCGCUGCAGUGAAAUUCAGAGCAUGGGUUAAGGCUGCCUAUCCGAGUCUUCUUACAUCAAAAAGCCAUUUUCUUGCUGAAAUGAAAAGCAAUUUGGGAGCAAUUAACAAUGCCAACAUACAACACAAUCACAAAUAUUUUCAUAAACUUUCUAUAACAUAUAUAUAUACAUACAUCAUCAUGCAUACCAUCCCACCACACUCAGCUCAUGUGCACUCCCUACAUGCACAAUGCAAUAUCAUCACCAUGUGCACUCCCUACUCGCACAUAGCCAGGUCAUCAUCAGCUCAUGUGCACUCCCGCACUGCACAUAGCUGGGUCAUCAUCAACCCAUGUGCACUCCCACACCGCACAUAAUUGGGUCAUCAUUAUCACACAAAAGGAGCAUCCAAAACAUAAUAUACAUAUCAAUAUAAUGUGAUAAUGCAUGAACCAUUCAUAUUGUAAAUUUCACAAGACAGAAACAUUUCAUCAAGGGCUUGUUCCCCAAGUAUAUUUUUAAAGCAAAAACAAAUGAAACUUUUAAAUGAUUUAUUUAAACAUGUAGGCACUUCCCAAAAUAUUUUGAAAUGCAAGUUCACUCACCGGUAUUUAUUAAAUCUUUACCCAACUCCAACUUCCUCUAAUGGUCCAAAUGGGGUGGUGGGGCUUCGUUGGAACCCAUCAUCACAAUAGAAUCACAAUAGCAUCACAAUUAACUCAAUUCACAAAAUUAUAAAUUCUAAAAGCUAUCUCCUAACUAGCUUCUAAAUGCCAUUAAGUGGCUAUCUAUUUUCACUAUCCUAAUCACUCUAAAAUGAAUAAACAACCUCAACUACAAAACACUCACAAGUCUAAUCACUAGCCAUUCUCAACACUUAAAAAUCAACUCUACUUCACUACUCACCUUGGUAGCUUUAUAAUUAAAUCCCUUUCUAAGAGUUUUCAAGUUAUUGUAGAAACUCUAUCUUUCUCUCUCUAAAACACCUAACUAGUGAGAGAAAGUAUAGGAGUAAGACUUUUGAGGGUUUUUAAGGUGAAAGAGUAAAAGAGUAUGGAAAAACCCUAUAACAAGGUAUGUAAAAAGUAUGAAAUUUGAGGUUAACUUGAUAAGGUGAUGGAAGCUUUAAGAUAAGCUUUCAUGGAGGAUGAAAGAAACGUGAGUUAGGAUGAGAAGGAGAAGAAGCUACUGGAGAAAUGAAGAAGCUGCUGGAAAAAAUGAUAUUUAUAGCUAAAGCUUAUCCAAACUCUACUUAAAUUAUGAAAAUGCCCUUAACAAGUUGGCUUGUUCUCCUUCAAUCCUUUGUGCAAUCUUUUUACUCUUUUGAUACUAGGAAAAAGUCAUAAUAGUCUAGAUAUACUCAGGUUCAUGAAAACUUAAAAUUUCGACUCGAGAUACAAAUGACCAUUUUGCCCCUACCUUGGAAAUCAUCAUUUUUUCUAUUUCUUUCAUCAUUUUAUCCUUAUUUUCAUCAUUCAUUUAUCCCUUAGGCCUACGUAGGCCUUAAUAUUGUUUGAAACCUACUUCUAAGAUGUCAUGAUCCCGUACUCGCCUCGAGCCCGUGACAACCGUCGCGACGUCCCGAUAGACAUUCGUUACCCGAAGUGUCAAUCGGAACCCCGCAAGGCUUUAGUACCAUUUUUUUUUCAUCUCCCCUGUGAGUAAUCAUCGCCAAAUCUUGUUUUAAAGAAUUUUAAGCUUUUUCCCUUUCAAAAUCGUGGAAAAAUAAUUUUCGCCUCACAAUGGUGUUUUUGUUAUUUUUCUUCAAAAUUUUUCGAACCCGACUAAAGAUGUAGUAGAUGAGUGGAAAACACAUAUUUCAUGAUUUAAUAUAAAUUUGGGUGCCUAAAACAUUUAUUAAAAUGAUAUUGCAACUAUUUGAAUAAAAUAAAAAUAUUCAAUAAAAUAUUCUAAUUUCUUGUAAAACAAUAUUUAUAGAGUCAUCGGUAAAUAAUUUUCGUAAUAUAAAAGCUAAAUAAAUUCAUACGUACUAUAAUACAGAUAACCGAGAUAUGAAAUUUACUUUAAAGUGACUCGUGGGCCCACAAGGAACCAAAGUGCACAAAGGCAGUAAACCUACAGUUUUUAGAGUAGUAAAGCCGACUAUAAUCCUUGAUGAUAUCUACUAUCCACAAGCUACCUCAGGCCUGAAAUAGUUGAAAAUGAGGGUGGUGAGAUUAUAAAAUCCCAGUGAGCAAACAGAUACCAUCUAAACCAUCUAAAGUCGAAUAAAUGGAGACAGAUAAAACAGUUUAACAUACUGAAAUUCAUCACCUUUCAACUUGUUUCAACCAAAUAAAAUCAAUUUAUAUAAAUCGAAUAAUUAACAUGGCUUAUGAAUUUCCUAAAACUUUGGCUCGCGCCAAAAUCAUUAUCAUACUCAGUCACCAGGGAUACCUUGGCCGAGGGCUAUCCCAAACCGAGUCCGUCAAGGCUGUUAAAAAGUUAUGUACGCAUAAAUCAUGUUUUUAUUUUGAAAACAUAGUCAUUCCUUGGCAUUGGCCGAGUUCACCCUCAUGUGGUGGUUUGGCCUGAAGUGAACUCUAAAGUGUUAACCUUAGGAGUUAUCCAUUCGCGCCUCUCAUACUGAGGUAAGAAAUAACGGGGUUUGUCGUGCCCCUCUAAUAGGCUGAUCUAUGAAAACCCGCCCACUGCAGUAAGCUAAACCCACCAAACAAUAAAAAUUCAACAGCAUGACGUGGUAAUUUUUUAUCGUUAUCCAGCCUAUCAAGGCAAACAACAGUUUAUAUAUUUCAACACAAAUACCAAUGCAGCCAUUCAUGCCAAUAUUGUCAUAAGCCAAUCAAUUAGAACCAUAAAUUUACAAUACAUCAAAUGGUCCCCAAUUACUCUAUUUGAAAAGCCAUUAUUCAAUUUUAAAACAAUUUUAUGAAAUCAUUUCACUAAAUCACAUUUUGUUUAUAAAAUCGAAAAAUUAAUCAUUUAAUUCAUUUUCCAUGAAAUUCACAAAAUCGGAUAAAACAUACUUUAGAUAAGUAAGACGAUAGUAAGGUUACUCACAGUACUAGGAGUUCGAUAUACUCCUAUUCUCGGUCUUCGGGCACAAUCUCUUUACCCUUGUUAGAGGGCUCACCACCUCUACAUCAUACAUGACACGAAUUUCAAUAAAUUGUGUCAAUUUAUCAUAAACUAUUUCAGGCUCUAUAAAUCUAUAUGAAUGCACGAAAUGUGAUGCAAAAUGUCUGAAUAGCCAUUUAAAUACGGUAUUCAAUCUAAUUCG